CGAGUGCAUUUUUCAUUGAAACACACUGUGUCUUCCUGCCUUAAACAGUUAACAUAUAAUCCAGGAUCAUGUUAUGCUGUAUAAAUUGUCAGGUAAACAAAGUCCUGCACAGACAGGUGUUGGAAGUAAUGGCUGGUAUAACUUCAUUCGCUUUCUAGCAUGUGAAGCAUCAGGCUGGGUCCAGGGACCAAUGUGAGGAUGAUGGCCAGAGUUGAAACAACUAAGGACUUGGAAGCAGAAGCUGCACUUUUAGGACUAUAAAAAAUACUGAAACUAAAACAGAAACCUGCACUUUUGUCAUAGCCAGAUAAUGUGUAUGAGCUGCUUGACCUGUCUUGGUGAAAAGAGAGACCAACUGAAUAAUAUGAUCAGAUCUAUGGGAGAGGAAUAUUCAAGCUGAUAAGGCACAAUAGGACAACACAAAUAAGCACCAACAUACUCUGAAAUAAAUAAGUUCCAGACAUAGCUGGCAUUUCACAGCGCUCUCCAAGUGACCAUUCUAUGCAUCCUGUGCUCCGAUUCUAGAGACUCACAGGGAGAAUCAUUACAUUUUCAUUAUGGGUAUUUUCAGACUGAUGGGAUUUAAUAAAUCAUGAGACUUAAAAGAUGGACAAGUUAAUAAAGGAAAUAAAGAGGAAGAAAUACAAGACAGCAGAAGAAAACAUCCUUUUUGAAAAGAGUGAAAAGCCAAUCUCAGUUCACUCAGUGCUGUGUCUUGUUUUUCUUCCCCUUCUUUAUUUUUGGAACUCCUUUCAGGAUAAGUAGAGAGUAAUCUCCUGCAUCCCAGAUUAUACCUGAGUUCUCAGACAUUUCCCAGUUACUCAGAAGUUCACUGUGUUCCUAACCAUUUCAAAAAUACCAUGCAAGAAAUUAGUCAAAACAAA